rnacentral:rRNA from 1 species
AGUGAACGCUGGCGGUAGGCCUAACACAUGCAAGUCGAACGGCAGCACAGUAAGAGCUUGCUCUUACGGGUGGCGAGUGGCGGACGAGUGAGGAAUACAUCGGAAUCUACUUUUUCGUGGGGGAUAACGUAGGGAAACUUACGCUAAUACCGCAUACGACCUACGGGUGAAAGCAGGGGAUCUUCGGACCUUGCGCGAUUGAAUGAGCCGAUGUCGGAUUAGCUAGUUGGCGGGGUAAAGGCCCACCAAGGCGACGAUCCGUAGCUGGUCUGAGAGGAUGAUCAGCCAACCUGGAGCUGAGACACGGUCCAGACUCCUACGGGAGGCAGCAGUGGGGAAUAUUGGACAAUGGGCGCAAGCCUGAUCAGCCAUACCGCGUGGGUGAAGAAGGCCUUCGGGUUGUAAAGCCCUUUUGUUGGGAAAGAAAAGCAGCAGGUUAAUACCCCGCUGUUCUGACGGUACCCAAAGAAUAAGCACCGGCUAACUUCGUG